GACGGAGGGUGCUAGCGUUGUUCGGAAUGACUGGGCGUAAAGGGUGCGUAGGCGGCGCGGUAAGUCGGGUGUGAAAUCUCGGAGCUUAACUCCGAAACUGCAUUCGAUACUGCCGUGCUUGAGGACUGGAGAGGAGACUGGAAUUUACGGUGUAGCGGUGAAAUGCGUAGAUAUCGUAAGGAAGACCAGUGGCGAAGGCGGGUCUCUGGACAGUUCCUGACGCUGAGGCACGAAGGUCAGGGGAGCAGACGGG
rnacentral:rRNA from 1 species